ACACUGAACAUGUGAACACGUCCAACACACCUGAGAACUAACACUACCCUGGACAGAGUCAAUACAGAAUCUGAUCAGCCUCUUACACCUACUUUGCCACCACUCCACAGGAUAUUCAGGUUCGGCGCUCUAGCUGAAAAAACAAUUAUUCUCACAGCCUUAGUCACACGUUUUCCAGGCAGUGCCUGAAAUGUUUCCUUUCAGCUCUUCACAAGCAGUUUAUAGGUUGUCAUUUGCUGCCUCAAGAACAAGAGAUGGCAAGUCUUCCAAAUGAACAGCUUCGAUGACUUUCCUGACUGAUGCAAAUGUGUUACACUGUUGACAAAUACUAACCAUGAAAGUUGACUUGGCUAUUGCUGUUUACAGUAACUGGUAUUUUCACUGAAAAUUAUCCUCCCACCAUCAAAUGGAGCAUGCUGUUUAAUCAAGUUAGUUUGUAAUAAUCUUUUUAUACACCUUAUCAAUUAUUUAGAUGAAUAAAAAGUUACCAAUUUUCAAGAACUGUAAUUUGUCACUUUAAUGGCUAUAAACUAUUCCCUGAGGAGAAACAGUCAUUGAAUGCAUACGGAGACCUGAAUAUCUGCUACCAUUGGAACUGAUCUGAACUGAAACACAUUGAGAAGGUAACAUGGGAAGUUUCGGCUAUAUGCCUGUAUUAUUAUUUCAGAUUUGCAGAUGGGAAGGAACAGAGAAUGCAGCAAUUUCAUUGCAUGUUACUGCAGCACAAGAGUGAGUAAAAUUUCAGCAAAGAAGCCAUGGCUGCAAGUAAAAAGCAGCAGUAAGAAAUCCCGUCUGUUCUCCUCCACCGCCUGUUCCUCUGUUUCAAGGUUGUGCAAGUUUACAAGACCAGUUCCAUUCUUGCUUUGCAAUACCAUUUAAGCAGCAUUUGUGCAGCAUGACUGUCAACUACCUCAUAAACAUCUACAGCAACACGGCUGUUUGGAUAGCUGGUCCUCAGCAUAUAUCCUUACGGGAAGUAUAAGCUUUGCUGCUUGCAUUAUUCACUUUCUGUGGGAGGCUGGUGUUUUUUUCAGUAAAAUCUAUGUAUUUGCCUAUACUGCAACAUGCCAUAUGGGUGUACUCAUGGUAGUGUGGCUUUUUCUACUGUCUGCAUUUUUAUUUGCAAUGCUGCACUUUCCAUAAAAGAUUUUGGUAAAGGCAAUGGAGAAUCAUAAUUUAAAUAAAAUAAUAUUAAUUUACCA
rnacentral:lncRNA from 1 species